rnacentral:rRNA from 1 species
UACGUAGGGGGCAAGCGUUGUCCGGAUUUAUUGGGCGUAAAGAGCGUGUAGGCGGCCAGGUAGGUCCGUUGUGAAAACUCGAGGCUCAACCUCGAGACGUCGAUGGAAACCAUCUGGCUAGAGUCCGGAAGAGGAGAGUGGAAUUCCCGGUGUAGCGGUGAAAUGCGCAGAUAUCGGGAAGAACACCCGUGGCGAAGGCGGCUCUCUGGGACGGUACUGACGCUGAGACGCGAAAGCGUGGGGAGCGAACAG